AUUGAUCUGAGAAUAAGAGAAGAAGUUAACCUACAAGUUGUAAAUCCUCUUACUGGCUUCACCAAGUCAUGUAGAGGAUUAGACACAAGCUAAUCUAAAAACACCUAAGUCAGUCACACUGAUUAACCUUGAUGGCAUGGGUCAGCAUGAAUCAACUAGUAACCUAAUCAAAAUAUAACCUACCAUGAUGGUCAGGUAAGUGAGAUCAGUGGGAGGAAUAUGCCAUUAACUCACCGUUGACACAUCUAGAUGAGUAACUCCUAAUUAAAAAUUACUUGAUCGAAUCUGCCAAACUUACCUUAGACACCAACUGGUUGAUUCCUUUCGAUUUGAUCCACCAGAAGAUUCGGACUCAACCACAGAGCCAUGAUCAUGGUCUAUUUAUUAGGGUCAAAAAUAUGGACUUGAUCAAACUUCAACUAUUGAGGUUGAUCUAGAAAAAUUCUAACCUAAUCUAAUUCAACACUUAAUUAGAUUUAAUUAAUUCUUUACUUUAUCCAUAUUUGUUUCCAACCCUAGAUCUAACCCAUUAGAAGGAUCUGAUUUAUACUAACCUAUAGCCCAUCGAUUUAUAUGGUAUCUUAAUGAUCUUCCAUUAUCAAAUCUAGAUCAUUUAAAUUUAAUUCAAAAUUAAGUGUGUAAAAUAUGUAUUUCAGUCUGUAGAACUAUUCUACCAG
rnacentral:lncRNA from 1 species